CGGGGGCGCGCGCGGCUGGGGGGCAGUGAGGGUCGCCUCGGCGGCGAGCAGCACGGCGGGAACAUAGCGCGCGGAACUGGCGCGCGCGCCUAGCUGGCGGGACCCUUAGCUCGAGGAGGACGCGGCCCGGACCCGGUGGAUGUGGAGCAGUCGCCGCUGCGGGCGCCCAAGCCGACCCAAGGGCCGACCCCCGCAAGGAGCUGAAGGAGGUGGGAGCCCCAGUCGCCGCGGGCGUCGGCGCCGUCAAAGAAGAUGGCCACGGAGACAGCAGUGUGGUCAGAGUGGUAGGAGCUGGCCAUCGGCGAGAGCUGCUCCAUGUCUGGCUGCUGGGUGCUAGAGCCUGUGGCCCACUGGCUUGCCUCACUGUGGUUGGUGGUGGCGGUGACAGAGACUGCAGCAUGAAGAGAGUGGCUUUUCUGGCUUUGCCCACCCAGCUGCUCCGUGCCAGGAGGAGGAGGAGACACCUAGAGCCUGCGACACCACGACUUGCCUCACUGCGGUUCUAGAGUGUAUGAAGAACCAAAUGAUGUAACUGUAUGCGACCUGGCUGUAGUGGAACAAAUUUGACUCUUAAGUAUGCAGGCUCUAAUUUUCCUGUCUGGUUUUGUCUAGGGAGAUGACUCAUCAGAAAAAGAAGAAAAAAGAGGUAUUUGGAAAUUGUGCAAAUUAAAGCAGCCCCCGAUGCCAAAGUCUACACAUUCCUGAGUGAGUCAGUUCUGGCCAGUUCUAGCUGGAUCAAGAGAGCUCUGCUGGGCAAGCCUGAAGAGCACCUGGAUGGCAGACACCUGAGGAGCCAGGUGCCUGAAACUUCCUCCACCUGCUUGAGGAGCGCUAAAGCCCAGGUGCUGGCUGGACAACCCGUUCUGGUUGCCUAAACAGGUGGCAGAAGAAGGAAACAAGGUUAGAGGCAGAGUGUUGAACCCUGCCUCCCAGGUGGGUGGAAGAUGCCUGUCACCAAACUAGGGCCCAGCCUGCCAGGUGAGAUGGGUGAACUGGUGAUCCCCCGAGAGAGUGGACGUCAGAACUACAUGGUCCUGGACCUCACCUCGGCCAGCGAAGGAGAGAGAGGGCUAAUGUUAACUGCACGAGGCCCACUCUAGCCUUAAAUUCUGAAAUUCAAACCCUUCCCUUGGAGACAAAACAAACAUGACAAGGAAUUCUGACAUCAGGGGACAAGAAUCACAAGUUCCCUAGUGGGAGACUGAGGAGGCAGUGUCCUUCCUGCCCUUGGUCUACUGGCUAAGAACCUUCCUCAGCCUGACCUUUCCACAUUGCACUUCCAGCUCUGUUUGCAAUUUUCCUCCUUUAGUGCUGAGGGAAUCCCAGUGUUCGAUCCUGAAAUCUAUAGGUUCCUAAUGGGUGGUUAAAAAAAACCUCAGCGAGAGAAGCAGAAAAUGUUUCCUCUUCCUGAAAAACUGGAGAAAGGCAGGCACCAUUCUGGGUGAGGACAUGGUCCUUGCAAAUGUCUUUGUGUUUUGUUUUGUUUUUUUAUUUUGAGAUGAAGUUUUGCUCUUGUUGCCCAGACUGGAGUGCAGUGGUGUGAUCUCUGCUCAUUGCAACCUCCGCCUCCUGGGUUCAAGCAAUUCUCCUACCUCAGCCUCCUGAGUAGCUGGAAUUACAGGCACCUGACACCACACCUGGCUAAUUUUUUGUAUUUUUAGUAGAGAUGGGGUUUUGCCAUGUUGGCCAUGUUGGUCUCUAACUCCUGACCUCAAGUGAGCCACCCACUUCUGCCUCCCAAAGUGCUGGGAUUACAGGAGUGAGCCACCGCGUCCCACUGUGAGUGAGUGAGCCACUGCAAAAGUCUUUAAAGACAGCAUGUUUCAGAGGCUGUGACGGUGCCCUGUGAACAUGCCAAAUCUCGCAGUCCCGGGAGCUCUGAGGAGCAGGCCCAGCUCCUUGCCAGGCUGAUGGUACUGAAACUCUGCUCUCCAAGACAUAACCUGAUGGCCGUGCAAGAUUUCUUAAUUGACUGUGGACCGUGAGAGUCUGCAUCUCAGUUUAAUUAAGACAGGAAAAGAAAGAACAAAAGAGCAACUCCCAGGUUAUAGAGAGACUGGAUUUUAGUAGAAUAUUCAAGUGUAGCAUUGCUAAUAAUAACAAACCUUUCCCCUCCCAAACGGUAAACACUUGCACUGCCUAUUAUACAAAAAUUCAACCAUCCUCUCUGUUCCCCCGAUAUCUCCUCCCCGGUGACCCCCCUCUCAUGUGGCCUCAUGAGCCUGGCCAGUGGUGAAUGGCACUUUCAUGGGCAUGAGACUCCACGUGAGUGGGACUCAGCUGGGACCCCUCUCCACGUGGGAGCUGGAGAAGCCACCCUAGUACCAGCUUAAAGUGUCCGUGAUGUCCCUGCUGCUGAGGUAGGGGCCACCUCUGAGCGGUCUCGGGGUGUGAGCUGCUGCUGGUAGUGGGCUCUGCCCUGAGGGCCUGGUGGCUGGUCGGAAGGGCAGGCACACAUGGGUGACUCCCCAGGAUCUCAGGCCACCUCCCCACCACAGUCCUGCACUGUGUGCUCCAGGCAUGUGCUGAGUGCCUGGUCAAUCACCAGUGCCCUAUUGAUCCCCAUCUCCAGAGAGAUCGUUUAGCGUCACUCCACAGAGGGGGAAACAGGCCCAGAGAAGUAAGGUGACUCUCCCCAGUCACAGGUCUGGUCAGCAGUAGGAUGGGAGGCUAGUCCCUUGCUGUCUGACUCCCUGAGCCCACCCAUAUCCCAAGGCAGCCAACUUCUGCCCGCCCUGGCUCAGGCCCCGACUGGCCCCUGUGGUGGGUGAUGUCUAUCUUCCUGGCCUUUGUGCUCCCAGCCAACUGGGAUGGAGCCUCCAGCUGGCAUGACAGGUUGUAGCUACGGGCAGAAGAGUGGCUGUGAGGCUGCCAGGAAUCUCACCAGGGCCCCCUCCCAGGGCCUGUCCAGAGUGAGGUCUGGGUACCCCAGGCAUUGCCAGACCACAGGAUCUGAUGUUGGCCAAGAGGCUAUGGCCACAGGCUUUCUGAGGCUGGCCCCCAGGGAGAGUUCAAUCCUACUGUCCCAAUUCCUGCCCUGGCCUUACCUCUCAGUCUCACCGAGCCACUUCGUGGUCCCAAACCAGGACCCAAAGUGCUGCUUGGGCUCAAGGUUGUAAUUAUUUGCAGCCAACUGGAGCAGCGGACCUCCUUGCUUACUUUGAAUUCCUGGGUCCAGAGGGAAAAACUGGGUGGUGACAGGGACGGGACAGGGAUGCCACAGGGGCCCUGUGGGGGUGUUAGAUGGGGUGGUGGCCAGUCUUUGCUCAUAGGGGACCCCCUCCUCCUCUCCAGUCCUGUCCCCACCUGUUCUCAGAGCCGGCUCAAGCAGCAGCUCCUCCAGGAAGGUGUCCUUGGUUUCAACCUGGUACUCCCACCUGCAGGUCUUCCUGGAGUGUCUCCUCUUUGUCUGUCUCCCCAUAAAUCUAAGACGAGGGGGAUGGAUUUGCCCACCGCUACUCACCGUAUGACUCUUGUGAGGUUGAUCUGUCUCCCUCCCUGGAAAUGCCUGCCUCUGGCCUUGGCUGUAGGCCACACUUCCCAGCCUGUCAUAAGGGCCACCUUGCAGGCUGCAAACCUGUAUAAGAAAUAAAGCUCUC